rnacentral:ncRNA from 1 species
CUUAUCUGAAUGUCGUUAAAUUCAUACGUUUCGAUGUAGUUUCUCGAUUUCGUGCAACCUGGUGAUAACCAAAUUAGAAGGAAAACCAAGAUGCAAUGUUUGUUUUCAAAUAAAUCCGGAGAGGGAACCAUAGAAACGGCUACCACAUCCAUGGAAGGCACCAUGCGCGAAACUUGUCCAAUUCUGAAUAGAUGAGAUAGUGAUCAAAAAUAGGAAGACCAUUCCUAUGGAACGGUCAUUCCAAUGAGUUGAUCAUAAACCUUUUUUCGAGAGCAAGUGGAGGGCAAGUCUUGUACCAGCAGCCGUGGUAGUUCCAGCUCCACUAG